UACGUAGGGGGCAAGCGUUGUCCGGAAUCAUUGGGCGUAAAGAGCGUGUAGGCGGCCCGGUAAGUCCGCUGUGAAAGUCCAGGGCUCAACCCUGGGAUGCCGGUGGAUACUGUCGGGCUCGAGUCCGGAAGAGGAGUGUGGAAUUCCUGGUGUAGCGGUGAAAUGCGCAGAUAUCAGGAGGAACACCGGUGGCGAAGGCGGUCAUCUGGCCCGGUACUGACGCUCAGGCACGAAAGUGUGGGUAGC
rnacentral:rRNA from 1 species